rnacentral:miRNA from 1 species
UAGGGGAUAGUGCAGAGGUCUA